AUUGAACGCUGGCGGCAGGCCUAACACAUGCAAGUCGAACGAGUGGCGGACGGGUGAGUAAUGUCUGGGAAACUGCCUUAUGGAGGUGUAUAACUACUGGAAACUGUAUCUAAUACCGCAUACCAUCGGAUGUGCCCAGAUGGGAUUAGCUAGUAUGUGGGGUAAAGGCUCACCUAGGCGACGAUCCCUAGCUGGUCUGAGAGGAUGACCAGCCACACUGGAACGGAGACAGGGUCCAGACGCCGAAGGGAGGCAGCAGUGGGGAAUAUUGCACAAGGGGCGCAAGCCUGAUGCAGCCAUGCCGCGUGUAUGAAGAAGGCCUUCGGGUUGUAAAGUACUUUCAGCGGGGAGGCGUUACCCGAAGAAGAAGCACCGGCUAACUCCGUGCCAGCAGCCGCGGUAAUUC
rnacentral:rRNA from 1 species